CAGCUCCCAUAUUGUGAACUGUGAAGAGACGCAUGCAAAAGAUGCUUUAGGAGGUCCCUAGAUGACAGCCAGUGGAGAAUUGAGGAUCUUAGUCUCAUAUUACAUGAGUGAGCCUAAGUGGAUACUCCUCCAGAGACCACAGCCCCAAUGAUACUUUGCUUCGAGUCCUGAAAGUACUGGCACCCAGUGAGGCUGCAUCUGUAUUCCUAACUCAGAGGAACAGAGAUCCAUUAACUUGGCCUUUGGAGAAAUGCGUUUAACCAGAUGGCUGCCAAGCCUCCUAAAAUCCAGUGAGCAGCUUGUGGAAGGGUACGGGAUGCCUCAGUACAACUGACCAUUUCACUCUGUCCCCAGACAGUCCUGCUCUCAUUUCAAACCAGUCAGAAGUCUUGGGCAGCUUAACACAAAAAGCAACAAAAGGAACAACAUCCAAUGAUAACAGGGUGUUUGAGCCUUCACAAGCCUCCAAGGAAAGGAAUUACAACCAAGAAUCUCCAAAAAUGAUUCAGAUUUAUAAAAUGCACUUUACUUUUCUUAUUUCAGCAGUUUGUGGCUAAUUCCUACUGAGGUUUUCUCUCUUUUUUUAAACACCCAAAUAAUGCAUUAAGAGGUACAUUCAACCCACUGAUUCCACCUCAGUGACACAACACAGUGACCAUCAGGGUCCUCACCACAGAUGACACACCUCCCAGGGUGUCUGAGAAAAGGGUGGUGCUGAACCUGAGGCCUUUCUUCUUGAGGCUCUCACACACUUGUCCAUAUCUGAGAACAACUGGGGAGUGUGAGAUUCAUAGAAACAUGAAAUCAUGGGAGAAAACUGCCUGAGAAUCACCUCCUUAGUUAUCUGAAGAAAUAAGGGUUAAUUUCAAUACAUAUUCCCAUUAACUUCAAGGUCUGAAGUUAAUGGGAGUAUGUUAGAGGAGAGGCUUUCUCAUAUAUCAUUGGGGGGCUGCAAAGGGCCUCACCUCUAUUUUCUGAUAGACCUCCUUAAACAUCCCAGGGAUGACAUAUUGUCGCUCCACCGCCUGGAUCUCAUCUCGAGUGGGCCAGAUAUCUUUCAGAAAUACUCGUUGUCCCUUUGCAUUUGUCCCUGAGGAAAAUAUGUUUACCAAUGAGAAAAGCCUCCUCUAAUAUCCUCUUUGCAUUAUUAAUACAGUCAGAUCUCUUUUCUCUCAAUGGUUAUGUUUGUUCUGAAAAGUAUGUGUGAAGAGUCAAUCAGUGAACCAUUGCUCCUAGGAGAGAUACAGGUUAAGGCCCUAGGUGCUUCUGACUACACUUUCAUCCAUACAUAAACUUGUUUUAGGUGUCCUCCUGUUUAAAGAUAUCUUUUUAAUAUACAGUUGGGCCUCUGUAUCUGUGGGUUCUGCAUCUGCUGAACCAACAAUGGAUUGAAAAUGCUCAGGGAAAAAAAAUUUCAUCAUAUUGUACAUGUAUAGAUAUUUUUAUCAUUAUUCUCUAAACAGUACAAUAGUUAUAAAUCUAUUUUAUAUAGCAUUAACAUUGCAUUAGGCAUAAUAAACAAUCUAGAUAUGAUUUGUGUAGGUUUAUGCAAAUACUACAUCCAUUCAUAUGAGGUACUUGAGUGCCUCCUGAUUUUGGUAUCCCCAGGGGUCUUGAAACCAAUGCUCAUGGAUACUUAGUGGUGGGUAUAUAUGUAGCCUUGGACUUAUAAUUGAAAAGCACUGUAACUUAUGCCUCAAUAAAGCCUACCUCAACAUAAGGUA